rnacentral:sRNA from 1 species
UCCUAGUCCUGGGUCGGCUUUGCCCCCCUC